ANAAUUCGCCCUUAGAGUUUGAUCNUUUCUCAGGAUGAACGCNANCGGCAGGCUUAACACAUGCAAGUCGAGGGGCAGCGGGGGAGAGCUUGCUUCUUCCGCCGGCGACCGGCGCACGGGUGAGUAACACGUAUGCAACCUGCCCCUGUCAGGGGGACAACCCGGCGAAAGCCGGGCUAAACCCGCGUAUAUUCUCCGGAGGCAUCUUCGGAGGAGGAAAGGCUACGGCCGGACAGGGAUGGGCAUGCGGCGCAUUAGGCAGACGGCGGGGUAACGGCCCACCGUACCGACGAUGCGUAGGGGUUCUGAGAGGAAGGUCCCCCACACUGGUACUGAGACACGGACCAGACUCCUACGGGAGGCAGCAGUGAGGAAUAUUGGUCAAUGGGCGGGAGCCUGAACCAGCCAAGCCGCGUGAAGGAAGAAGGCGCUAAGCGUCGUAAACUUCUUUUGCCGGGGAACAAAAGUUCGGAUUUAUCCGGAUGUGAGUGUACCCGGAGAAAAAGCAUCGGCUAACUCCGUGCCAGCAGCCGCGGUAAUACGGAGGAUGCGAGCGUUAUCCGGAUUUAUUGGGUUUAAAGGGUGCGUAGGCGGUUGGUUAAGUCAGCGGUAAAAGCCCGGAGCUCAACUCCGGCGAGCCGUUGAAACUGGCUGACUUGAGAGAGUGAGAGGCAUGCGGAAUGCGCGGUGUAGCGGUGAAAUGCAUAGAUAUCGCGCAGAACUCCGAUUGCGAAGGCAGCAUGCCGGCGCUUAUCUGACGCUGAGGCACGAAAGCGUGGGGAUCAAACAGGCUUAGAUACCCUGGUAGUCCACGCAGUAAACGAUGAAUGCCGGGUGUCCGGGAAGAAUAAUUUCUGGGUGCCGUAGCGAAAGCGUUAAGCAUUCCACCUGGGGAGUACGCCGGCAACGGUGAAACUCAAAGGAAUUGACGGGGGCCCGCACAAGCGGAGGAACAUGUGGUUUAAUUCGAUGAUACGCGAGGAACCUUACCCGGGCUCAAACGGCGGAUGACGUAAUGAGAGAUCGUUAUUCCUUCGGGCAUCCGCCGAGGUANNACAUGGUUGUCGUCAGCUCGUGCCGUGAGGUGUCGGCUUAAGUGCCAUAACGAGCGCAACCCCUGCUGGCAGUUGCUAACGGUUCGGCCGAGGACUCUGCCAGGACUGCCGGCGCAAGCCGCGAGGAAGGCGGGGAUGACGUCAAAUCAGCACGGCCCUUACGUCCGGGGCGACACACGUGUUACAAUGGGGGGUACAGCGGGAAGCCAGACAGCGAUGUCGAGCGGAACCCGAAAGCCCCUCUCAGUUCGGAUCGGAGUCUGCAACCCGACUCCGUGAAGCUGGAUUCGCUAGUAAUCGCGCAUCAGCCAUGGCGCGGUGAAUACGUUCCCGGGCCUUGUACACACCGCCCGUCAAGCCAUGGGAGCCGGGGGCGCUUGAAGUGCGUUGCCGCGAGUCUCUCCCUAGAGCGAANAAAAUGANCUGGGGCUAAGUCGUAANCAUUUU
rnacentral:rRNA from 1 species